rnacentral:rRNA from 1 species
GUGGGGAAUCUUAGACAAUGGGGGAAACCCUGAUCUAGCCAUGCCGCGUGAGCGAUGAAGGCCUUAGGGUUGUAAAGCUCUUUCAGCUGGGAAGAUAAUGACGGUACCAGCAGAAGAAGCCCCGGCUAACUCCGUGCCAGCAGCCGCGGUAAUACGGAGGGGGCUAGCGUUGUUCGGAAUUACUGGGCGUAAAGCGCGCGUAGGCGGACCAGAAAGUUGGAGGUGAAAUCCCAGGGCUCAACCUUGGAACUGCCUUCAAAACUCCUGGUCUGGAGUUCGAGAGAGGUGAUUGGAAUUCCGAGUGUAGAGGUGAAAUUCGUAGAUAUUCGGAGGAACACCAGUGGCGAAGGCGGCUCACUGGCUCGAUACUGACGCUGAGGUGCGAAAGCGUGGGGAGCAAACAGGAUUAGAAACCCCAGUAGUCC